rnacentral:rRNA from 1 species
AGCAUCAACAGGGAUUGCCCCAGUAACGGCGAGUGAAGCGGCAGGAGCUCAGAUUUGAAAUCUGGGGCCCCCGGCCUCCGAGUUGUAAUUUGGAGAGGCUCCUUCGGGGGGGAGCGCUGGCCCAUGUUCCUUGGAACAGGACGUCGCAGAGGGUGAGAAUCCCGUGCCAGGCCGGCUGCCUCCUCCCGCGUGAAGGGCCUUCGACGAGUCGAGUUGUUUGGGAAUGCAGCUCCAAGCGGGUGGUAAAUUUCAUCUAAAGCUAAAUACCGGCGGGAGACCGAUAGCGCACAAGUAGAGUGAUCGAAAGAUGAAAAGCACUUUGAAAAUAGAGUCAAAAAGUACGUGAAAUUGUUGAAAGGGAAGCGCUUGAGACCAGACUCAGACCCAGGCAAACACCGCGCCCCCAGGGGCCGUGCAAUUGCCCGGUGCUGGGCCAGCAUCAGUUGGCGUGGCGGGACAAGGGCGCGGGAAAUGUGGCUCCCCUCGGGGAGUGUUACCAGGCCCGCGCCGGAUGCCGCCGACGCCGACUGAGGACCGCGCCUCGGCUAGGAUGCUGGCUUAAUGGCCUUCAGCGACCCGUCUUGAAACACGGACCAAGGAGUCUAACAUCUAUGCGAGUGUUUGGGCGCCAAACCCUUGCGCGGAAUGAAAGUGAGCGGAGGUGGGAACCCCUCAACCGGGCGCACCAUCGACCGAUCCUGAUGUCUUCGGAUGGAUUUGAGUAGGAGCAUAGCUGUUGGGACCCGAAAGAUGGUGAACUAUGCCUGAAUAGGGUGAAGCCAGAGGAAACUCUGGUGGAGGCUCGCAGCGGUUCUGACGUGCAAAUCGAUCGUCAAAUUUGGGUAUAGGGGCGAAAGACUAAUCGAACCAUCUAGUAGCUGGUCUGC